rnacentral:lncRNA from 1 species
AUUUGUUUAGGGUUUGAUUAGAGUUUGAUUAAGAUUUAUUUAGGUUUUUUUAGGAUUUGAUUAGGAUUUAUUAGGAUUUGACUAGGAUUUGAUUAAAAUUUGUUUAAAAUUUAAUUAAGGUUUAUUUAUGAUUGAUUAGGAUUUGAUUGGAAUUUGAUUAGAAUUUGGUUAAGAUUUGAUUAGGAUUUGGUUAGGAUUUGAUUAAUAUUUGAUUAGGAUUUGGUUAGAAUUUGGUUAGGAUUUGAUUAAGAUUUGGUUAGGAUUUGGUUAGGAUUUGAUUAGGAUUUAAUUAGAAUUUGACUAGAAUUUGAUUAGAGUUUGAUUGGGAUUUGAUUAGAUUUUUUUUAGGAUUUUAUUAGGUUUUGAUUAGGAUUUUUUUAGGAUUUGACUAGGAUUUGGUUAAGAUUUAUUUAAGAUUUGAUUAGGAUUUGAUUAGGAUUUAUUUAGGAUUUGACUAGGAUUUAAUUAAGGUUUUUAUUUUAAUAUUUGAUUAAGAUUUCUAUUUUAGUAUAUUUUGGAAUUCCUAUGUUAUUUCUUUAUAAUUCCUUUAAAGGGUCUUUAAGAAUACUUUGUGUUUCUUACAUAAUUCCUUUGUAAUUUUGAUUGAAUUUGAUUGAUAUUUGAUUAUACUUGCUAAUUUUUAAUUUUAAUUUAUUUAAGAAUAUAUUAGAGUUAUUAAGACUUAUUGUUGCAAUUUUUCUUUUAUCUUCUACAACUAAGUGUCUAGUGCAUUUUCAAGCCAAAUGCCACAUUGUCGUAAUACUUCGGGCACCUAGCUGUAGAAGGUAGAAUGAAAAUUGCAACAACAAAAUCCUAAUUCUAAUAGAACACUAAUAAUGCUAAAUAAGCUUUAAUCAAAUUCAGAGAAACUUCAAAGAAAUUCCAAAGAAAAAAUAAGAAAUCUUAAAGAAAUAUUAGAAUGAUUACAAACAUAUCUCAAAUACAUCUCAAUUCAAUCUUAAUUUAAUCCUAGUUGAAAUCUUAUUGGACUUCAUUCAAACUUUAGGCCAAAAACUAACUAAAUCUUAAAUCCUAAAUAAACUCAAAUAAAAUCCUAAAUCCUAAAUCAAAUCCUAAUCAAAUCCUAACCAAACCUUAAAUCCUAAACCAAAUCCUAAAUUCUAAAUCAAACUCUAAAAAAAUCCUAAAUCCUUAAUCCUAAAUCAAACCCUAAUCCUAAAUCAAAGCCUUAUCAAACCCUAAUCCUAAAUCAAAUCCUAACCAAAUCCUA